ACUUGUUACAUAACAUACGAGUACUUGUUACAGAGAUUGCCAAAUGGAUUUCAAAACACAGAAUAACUUGAAAUGCAAGUGACGAAUUGUUAACCAUUUACGCCAGUAUAGUUAUAAUGUUGAUUUACCAAAAUGUACAAGGAAAAUUUAGUGUUAGUGAUAUCAUUUUUUAGUUUGUUAGUGAUAUCAUGCCAAAUAAUUGUGAUGAUUUUUAAUAUGAUUUUUUGCAUGAGUAUGAGUUAUUAUUUGCAAAUGGUUUUUAGUAUUAUAUAUAUAACUUCAAUUAAUUCUUGAGAAAAGGUGUUGCUAAUGUGCCAUUAAAAAGUCAGAAAGUGUUAGCAUAACCAUUUUUAAAAAGAUAGAGUCCCUUGAGGAAUUUUAUGAGCUUGAAACCAGAUUAAAAGACAACGGGGAGAACACUUUGUCACCUCAUAAAAGCAGGUGGAAAAAUGUUAAAGAAAAUACAAAAAAUGUUAUGGUCAGAAUUAUGGAGCAUCAUGUUAAGUCCAAGUUCAAUAUAAAAAGCAAAAUUCGUGGUGAUAUAAAGAAGGUUAUCAUUCGAAAAUAAAAAGUUGUGUGAAGCAAUAAUUUUGAAGUCAUCCAGCUAACGCACGAGAGUUCGACGGAAGCAAACAAAAGAUCAAUUAGGAAGCAUUUUAAAGUUCUCUCCAUUAAACAAUUAUUUAUUUUUGAGUUUUUUUGUAAAUUUAUAAUACAAAAGAAUAUAUAAUACAUCUUUAAAAA